rnacentral:rRNA from 1 species
GAUGAACGCUGGCGGCGUGCCUAAUACAUGCAAGUCGAGCGAAUGGAUUGAGAGCUUGCUCUUAUGAAGUUAGCGGCGGACGGGUGAGUAACACGUGGGUAACCUGCCCAUAAGACUGGGAUAACUCCGGGAAACCGGGACUAAUACCGGAUAACAUUUUGAGCCGCAUGGUUCGAAAUUGAAAGGCGGCUUCGGCUGUCACUUAUAGAUGGACCCGCGUCGCAUUAGCUAGUUGGUGAGGUAACGGCUCACCAAGGCAACGAUGCGUAGCCGAGCUGAGAGGGUGAUCGGCCACACUGGGACUGAGACACGGCCCAGACUCCUACGGGAGGCAGCAGUAGGGAAUCUUCCGCAAUGGACGAAAGUCUGACGGAGCAACGCCGCGUGAGUGAUGAAGGCUUUCGGGUCGUAAAACUCUGUUGUUAGGGAAGAACAAGUGCUAGUUGAAUAAGCUGGCACCUUGACGGUACCUAACCAGAAAGCCACGGCUAACUACGUGCCAGCCGCCGCGGUAA